CCUACGGGUGGCAGCAGUGAGGAAUAUUGGUCAAUGGGCGCAAGCCUGAACCAGCCAAGUCGCGUGAGGGAUGACGGUCCUAUGGAUUGUAAACCUCUUUUGUCGGGGAGCAAGGCCCGCCACGUGUGGCGGGAAGGAGAGUACCCGAAGAAAAAGCAUCGGCUAACUCCGUGCCAGCAGCCGCGGUAAUACGGAGGAUGCGAGGGUUAUCGGGAUUCAUUGGGUUUAAGGGGUGCGUAGGCGGAAGGUUAAGUCAGCGGUAAAAUUUCGGUGCUCAACACCGGCCUGCCGUUGAAACUGGUUGUCUUGAGUGAGCGAGAAGUAUGCGGAAUGCGUGGUGUAGCGGUGAAAUGCAUAGAUAUCACGCAGAACGCCGAUUGCGAAGGCAGCAUACCGGCGCUCAACUGACGCUGAGGCACGAAAGCGUGGGGAUCGAACAGGAUUAGAUACCCGAGUAGUC
rnacentral:rRNA from 1 species